GGGCCCGCACAAGCGGUGGAGCAUGUGGUUUAAUUCGAUGCAACGCGAAAAAACCUUACCUACCCUUGAAAUCUUCGGAAUCUCUCAGCAAUGAGAGAGUGCCUUCGGGAACCGAAUGACAGGUGUUGCAUGGCUGUCGUCAGCUCGUGUCGUGAGAUGUUGGUUAAGUCCCGUAACGAGCGCAACCCCUAUCCUCUGUUGCCAGCGAGUAAUGUCGGGAACUCUGAGGAAACUGCCGGUGAUAAACCGGAGGAAGGCGGGGAUGAUGUCAAGUCAUCAUGGCCCCUUACGGGUAGGGCUACACACGUGCUACAAUGGACAGUACAACGGGUCGCCAAGCCGCGAGGUG
rnacentral:rRNA from 1 species